GUGUUUUGUUUUCUAUGAUGUGUUUUGUAUUAACUGUUGUUUGUCUUUUUAUGAUGUGUUUUGUAUUAACUGUUGUUUGUCUUUUUAUGAUGUGUUUUGUAUUAACUGUUGUUUGUCUUUCUAUGAUGUGUUUUGUAUUAACUGUUGUUUGUCUUUCUAUGAUGUGUUUUGUAUUAACUGUUGUUAGUCUUUUGCAUGUUUUUUUUUAAUUUUUCUCAAUGCACAUUGUAAGAUUUGUUUUUCAACUUGUGAGUUUGAAUAUCCCUGUAUCCCUUUGGUAUCUCGGCAACUCUCUUUUGCUCAGUCUUUUGUUUUCCAUACUGAUGUUUGUCUUUUGGUUGAUU
rnacentral:lncRNA from 1 species